UUAGACCCCCUUAGUCCCUAUAACACAAACUCACUCUAGGGUUCCUAAUCCCAUUUUGUCCUAGCCGCCUCUCUCCCAUUUCUCCUCUUGGACUAUAAUCCAAACCUCCAUCACCCUUAGCAGUAUUUGUUACUCCAUUUUAGUGUAAGCUUUGUACACAUUUUCAGCCAUUCCCGAGCCCUUCCCUUCCUUCUAUUUUCGUGAAUGAUGGCAUAUCAAAAUCAAGAGAAAAUCAGUCCCAAAUCUCACCAUUUCCAGCUAUUCUUGGAUGAAUCAAAUAUGUGAUCAAAAUCUCAAACGUUCGAAAUUCAAAAUUGUUUGACCAUGCUCAGAUCUGAAAGGAAAUCCCGCCCAAAAAAUCAAAACCCUAGUUGUUUCAUCUAUAAAUACCUCUCUAAGUCUCAGCCGAAAGAGAGGGCUAAAAAAAAACCCUCGAAAAUCAGUUUGAUACCAUCUGUGGGAAAUCUCUCAAUUUCUUGUCUCUAUUUCAUAUUAUCAGUAAUUAAGGAGUAGAUCUGAAGCGACCUUUAAGCCUUUGUUCACUGCACCACACAAGAGCAAAUUUGGCGUCUUAAUGCAAGACUCGCCCAUGCCCGAGCACGGAGUCAAUACAUAUUCCCAUAUCCUUAGAGUCAUUGGAUAGCGAGAAAACAAGCGAAACGCUUGGGGGAGCCUAUGGCGUCCUUCCUUUAGCUCUUUUGUCAUUCGUUUAUUCUAACAUAUAUUAUAAUUUUUGAGCCUAUGGCGUCCUUCCUUUAGCUCUUUUGUCAUUCGUUUAUUCUAACAUAUAUUAUAAUUUUUGUGUAUUUGGGUAGUUAUUUUUUUCAAGUGUGAAUUUAAUCAUC